CCCCUGUUUAAAACACAAAUAACGCGUGUUUAAUAUUACAAUAAUAUCCCGAUAAUAUUCAAACAAAACUUAAAAUACAUUUUUCACUUACUCAGCUCCCGAAAUAUCCAUUAGGAGGGCUUCACAUACUCUGUUAUCUGUCCUGGGACUGCUGCCUGUUGUCUUACGACGUCGUUCAGAGUGCACACUUUUCUUUUUUUAAUAUAUAAAUAUUCUUGGGUAUGUGAUUAUUUGGACUUACGCCUAAAAAUGUGUGAUCGUGAAGGGCUACGUAAAGGACAGGGCGCCGUUUGCUUCUGAGAAUCUACGUCUAACAGUCGCUUCCCAAUCACUUAUGUCCAGUAGCCUUCAGAAAUAUCCAUUAGGAGGGCUUUACAGACUAUGCUAUCUGUCCUGGCAGUUAAAUAUUCGGGCCUUUGGGUUUGCGCUAAAGCCGUGCUAAACGUGUUAAAAAUAGACGUUCUGUCCCUAACUUGUUAAAGUACGGAAUGAGUUUCGAGAGAUAGCCUGUAUGCAACCAACUAACUGUAUGUUUGCUUUAGACCAAAAGGCUGUGAAUUCAAAGAGCCGUUCUGUCAUGCUUUUUGUUUGGGGGGUCCUGGGGGGCGUUGAUUAGAUAUCCAGGUUUAACCCCGGGCGGUCGGCCGAUACCAUGACAUGUCAUAUGCUGGAUAGUUCAAACUUUGAAUUUCAAACGAUUCUCUACAGAUGGGACCCCAUGUUGAACCCACACAAACAACCCCUUUGUUUUUUGAAACGCACACACACACACUCCUGCUGCUCCGUCACACGCACACUCAUGCACGCACCCUGAUUUUCAAUGUCUUUUUCUUCGCGACAGAGUUGGCUGAAGAUGUGAAAUACCGUUUCACAUAGUUACGGACGGGGUUGAUGGCUGGAAAGGACAUUUUCCCUUCGUUAAAGGAUAGAUGGUCCGGUUAGCCACGACCAUUAUCCAUUUCAAAUUCAUCAACUCAAAGACGCUUGUCCGCUCCAUCAAAACUCCGUAAGUUUUCCCUCCAUGUGUAGAUCAACCGUUCCUGCCUGUAAAUCCUGGGUAUGCCCACAUCAUUAAUGAAUAAGAUGUGUAGAAAACUGUUUAGCCAUAGUUAAAGGCCUUUCAUAAAGAGUCUGUCAUGAUUGCCUGUGCCACACGUAUUGCUUGUUACCUAAUACUACUGUUGUACAUUUAAUAUCCACUAGCAGAUUUCGUCGCAUUUGCACAAAUUCGGUCAUGUUACUGUGGUCUUUUUAAAUGUCAGUAAAUAUGUGUGUAAAGUGUAUAUGUUUGUUUCACUGUAGAUUUGUUUAAGCCCUCCUAGAAACACCUAAUUAAAGGCCUUUCAUAAAGAGGCUGUCAUGAUUGCCUGUGCCACAUGUUUAACACGUAUUGCUUGUUACCUAAUACUACUGUUGUACAUUUAAUAUCCACUAGCAGAUUUCGUCGCAUUUGCACAAAUUCGGUCAUGUUACUGUGGUCUUUUUAAAUGUCAGUAAAUAUGUGUGUAAAGUGUAUAUGUUUGUUUCACUGUAGAUUUGUUUAAGCCCUCCUAGAAACACAUAAUUAAAGGCCUUUCAUAAAGAGGCUGUCAUGAUUGCCUGUGCCACAUGUUUAACACGUAUUGCUUGUUACAGAAUACUACUGUUGUACAUUUAAUAUCCCCUAGCAGAUUUCGUUGCGUUUGCACAAAUUCUGUCAUGUUACUGUGGUAUUUUUAAAAGUCAAUAAAUAUGUGUGUAAAGUGUACAUGUUUGUUUCACUGUAGAUUUGUUUAAGCCCUCCUAGAAACACCUCAUUUCAUCCCACAGCCUUAAUUAAUAAGCUGUGCAGAAGCUGUUUAGCCAUAAGUAAAGGCCUUUCAUAAAGUGGCUGUCAUGAUAAACCUGAAAUUACCUUUAGGAUCUUUUCUUUGGGGUUCUAAUCUCCCCAGGUGUACAUGCACUGAAAAUCCUUAGGCUGGAGCCAUCUUGAAGCUCUGUGCCUGUACAUAUAAAGAGAACUAAAUAGGAAACUAGGCUGAGAAACAUUAUUUAGAUGGCUGUUUAAUUGUUGUUUAAAGCCUGAAAUGGACACAAUGCCAAGGGACCUUGUUUCUAACACACACACACACAUACAGACACACAUUCCUGCUCCAUAGAUAACAAACAUAAGGGCAAUAAAACUGGGGGGGUCAUACCCGGUCCAAAAGUUCAAACACAACAACCACAGUUCAACCAGGCCCCUAGACAUCCAUCAACUGGACUACUUCA